UCCCUGGAGGACUAGCGGUUAGGCCACAGUGAUCUCACCUGCGGCUUGGGUUCGAUUCCCGGCCAGGGAA